UCUGUUAGUAGUUAUUUCAUUCACUGCUGCCUUACCAAGUGUGAAUAUCUGUUUAUUUCAAGCAAGUCCUGCCACAGCACUCAUGGGUAGCCUUGAUCACAGGAGUCCUCCCUUUGCACAAUUCCAGUAAUGCACACAUGUUAGUUUCCACAGUGUAGUUAACACCUGUUCCCCAGCAGCAUGGUUCCCAUUUCAGUCACCACAGUACCUAGCCGUGCAGUUAGGUGCAGGUGCAUUUACCAGCCUACGUGCGGCAGGUGUCGUGAUGAAGAUGCUGAUAACCCACCAGUGGUGCUCGGCAAUGUUUCAGGACGUUGAAGGUUUGUGCAAAGGGUGCAAUGUUGCAAGUGGGUUCAGACGUAGAAAAGAAUAGGACAGGCCAGGCACAGUGGCUCACACCUGUAAUCCCAGCACUUUGGGGGGCCCGAGGCAGGUGGAUCACCUGAGGUCAGGAGUUUGACACCAGUCUGACCAGCAUGGCAAAACCAUCUCUACUAAAAAUACAAAAAUUAGCUGGUUGUGGUGGCGGGCGCCUGUAGUCCCAGCUACUCAGGAGGCUGAGGCAGGAGAAUUGAUUGAACUUAGGAGGCGGAGGUUGCAGUGAGCCAAGAUCACAUCACUGCAUUCCAGCCUGGGUGACAGACCGAGACUCUGUCU
rnacentral:lncRNA from 1 species